AAGCAAAUAUAGUUUCCCAAUAUGCUUUCACCUGAGCACAAUCCCAAAACGUGCAUACGUUCCUGUAGAUUUCAAGCACUGCCAGGAACAAUUUUGUGUCCAGAAUUUUAAAAUGUUAAUUGAAGGUUGGCGUCCAGUUUUUCCAGCUGAAGAACAGAUAACACUGCAAACUGUUUCCUUUAUAGCAUAGUAGGUGGUAUCUUAUUCUUGCUCAUAACAAUAUUGUAUUAUGAGGAGUUGUGUCAAGGUCUGAUUAUCAGGCUUCCGAGGUAAGAUACUAAAUGUGUUUUGGAAGGGUUAUUUUUAAAUCCAAUUUGACAUUGGAUUCUUUGAGAUGUUAGAAAUGAGCUCACUAAUCCUAGCAAACAGCUUUAAUUGCAGCUGGUCCUCUCUUCUGCAUCCAGAUUGUUUUUAUUUUGCAGCUGCAGAAAAAACAAAAAUUGUUACAAGCAUAAAUCAAAUGUUUAGUAUCCUUUGCUGUUCCAAUAGUUCUCGAACAUUUUUCACUAUUUUUCUUUUUGUAAUUUCAGAUGUUCACAUGUAAACUUUUAUGUGGAUCAUUUUUGUGAAGCUUAUUCCAAAUUUUCAGAGUAUGAUAUAGUACUGGAUUUUGUGGAGCUGAUGAUUCUCAAACUGGUGUAGAUACAUCGAUUUAAGCAAAGUUGCUUCUUAUUUACUGAAGCCCAUGUUAAAGUACACUGAACCUCAGUGAGGACUAUCUUCAUGGCAAGUUGAAAACACACUUCCUUUUGGAGCCCUACAAGCUCUAAUCUUCCACUAAAGAACAUGGACUAAAAAUAAAUAUUGUCAAACCAAGCAAAGCCGAAUCUUCAAAUAUAGUGGAAUAAAAUGUGUAUUAAACAGCUAUUUUUUAUACAUUCUAUUGCCUGUAUACUUUGUUUAUAUCAGGGAUCUCAAACUCAAAUCACCACAAGGGCCACAUGAGGACUAGUAUGUUGGCCCGAGGGCCGCAUCACUGAAACCUUUUCAUACGAUGAUACAAAAGUAUAGCAAAAAAUAAGAGUAAUAUAGUAUGCUAUUAAAAGUCAAUGUAUUAACUUUUUAAAAACUGUAAUGCAAAGAGGGGUUUUAAUAAAAUAUAAACACCUGUAA